rnacentral:rRNA from 1 species
CAAGUCGAGCGAGAAAGGGGGGGCAACUCCCUGAGUAAAGCGGCGCACGGGUGAGUAACACGUGGGUAAUCUGCCCUGGAGUGGGGAAUAACACCGGGAAACCGGUGCUAAUACCGCAUACGAUAAUGAGGUCUGCGGACUUUGUUAUGAAAGGAGCAAUUCGCUCUAGGAGGAGCCCGCGGCUGAUUAGCUAGUUGGUGAGGUAAUGGCUCACCAAGGCUACGAUCAGUAUCCGGUCUGAGAGGACGGUCGGACACACUGGAACUGAGACACGGUCCAGACUCCUACGGGAGGCAGCAGUGGGGAAUUUUUGGCAAUGGGGGCAACCCUGACCAAGCAACGCCGCGUGGGUGAUGAAGUCUCUUGGGACGUAAAACCCUUUCGACGGGGAAGAAAACCGCAAGGUUUGACGGUACCCGUAGAAGAAGCCCCGGCUAACUCCGUGCCAGCAGCCGCGGUAAUACGGGGGGGGCAAGCGUUGUUCGGAAUUACUGGGCGUAAAGGGCGCGUAGGCGGUCCGCUAAGUUGGAUGUGAAAACUCUGGGCUUAACCCAGAGCCUGCAUUCAAAACUGACGGGCUAGAGUUCUGGAGGGGGUAGCGGAAUUCCUGGUGUAGCGGUGAAAUGCGUAGAUAUCAGGAGGAACACCGGUGGCGAAGGCGGCUACCUGGACAGAAACUGACGCUGAGGCGCGAAAGCUAGGGGAGCAAACAGGAUUAGAUACCCUGGUAGUCCUAGCCCUAAACGAUGGAUACUUGGUGUGACUGGGAUUGAAUCCAGUCGUGCCGAAGCUAACGCAUUAAGUAUCCCGCCUGGGGAUACGGUCGCAAGGCUGAACUCAAGGA